rnacentral:piRNA from 1 species
UGCCGAAUUGUGGUGUUUAUCUCUUUGCC